rnacentral:rRNA from 1 species
CACGGGGGUUGCGAGCGUUGUCCGGAAUUACUAGGCGUAAAGGGCAGGCAGGCGGAUCCAUAAGUUUAUCGUUUAAGGCGUCGGCUUAACCGGCGUAGGGCGGUAGAUACUGUGGAUCUGGAAUGCGGUUGGGGAAGACAGAAUUCCUGGUGUAGCGGUGGAAUGCGCAGAGAUCAGGAGGAAUACCGAAGGCGAAGGCAGUCUUCCAAGCCGUUAUUGACGCCCAACUGCGAAGGUGUGGGUAUCAAACAGGAUUAGAUACCCGCGUAGUCCCUGAGCGGG